AGAAGCCGAUUCCUGAACACAACAGGAAGUGCAGGGGACUUUUAAUUAGAAUUUUUUAACACUGUAAAGCUGCUUUGACACAAUAUGUAUUGUAUAAAGCACUAUAGAAAUAAAAGUGACUUGACUUGACAUGAAUGUGAAUGGAGGAAACACAGGUCAGGGGAAACAUUUUGGAUUAAUGAGGUUAAAAAAACAACAACUUGUUAUGAACAGUUCCUUCCUCCUGCAUGAACAACAUGAUGUGAAGGAUCUUGACCUCUGACCAGAGAUUUACAGUCAUUUUUGUGGAAUAAUCGGAAGAUGGAAUCAUUUGAAGGAUUGCAGGAGAAGAGACACAAAGACUAUGAUUUUGCAUCUUUAUCACAGUGUUCUGAGACCCUUCCAUUUCCCAGGAUUCUGUUGAAGUAAUUCCCUGUCAGCAUCUUCCAUUAUGUGUCAGAUGCAGUCGGAUUCGAUGUGCCCUAACCGCUCGCCACCUCAGAUCUGAGCAGGAAGCUGGUGUCCGUCUGUGCAGUCAGUUGUGCAUCACUGCUCCUGUCUCAGCACAUGCUCUCUGUUGAGGCGACGUGCCGCGUCAGAAAUAUCAGGAGUGCUGGCAUCCAUUCUCUCUCUCUCUCUCUCUCUCUCUCUCUCUCUCUCUCUCUCUCUCCAUAUGUGUGUUAAUGAGGUGUGUGUGUGUGUGUUUGCAUCUCCCUCUGCCUGACACAAUGUGACUCCUUCAGCUCUCUCUCUCGUUCUCUCUCACUCUCUUUCUCUCCCUCUGAUUCAGAUUCAAAUAACAUUAUUUGACUUGGUAAGCAAGGAGUUUUACUGCCAAAAAAAUUAAAUGUAAAUACAUACACAUAUACACACAAAUAACAACAAAGUACUAAUAAAGAUGUAAGUAGGAGGAGAAUGAUGGGCUCAGUAGAUGUCAGUGAAGCUGAGAGAGGGGGCUGGUUCCUUUGCUUUAUAAUGAUAUGGGGGUCAGUGAGUUUUAAAUGUUUCCAGAAUUUUACUGCUCAUUUAUGUGUUUUUAUAAUUUGUGAAUGUUUUCCUGAUUCUCCCAUACAUACAUUAUUUGUAGAUAUAG